rnacentral:misc_RNA from 1 species
AACGCACAUUGCGCUCCUUGGUAUUCCGGGGAGCAUGCCUGUUUGAGAAUCAUUAAAAUCAUCAUUAUUUCUUAGGAUGAAAAUCUUUUGAGAUAAUGGAAUUGAGCCAUUUGCAUUUGCAAUGGUUUGAAAUUGAGUGUCUGAUGCUGUUUAUUACAAGCAAUGUGACAAUAAUGCUUGAAAAGGACUACCUUAGAUUCAUUAUUGUCUCUUCUGUGUAAUGAAUAGUGAAUGCUCUUUGUUAUUAUGAAAGUGGUGACUCGCAGCCAAAUCAUUAGUGGUCUAAUCUUCGGAGAAGACAUGAAGAUUUGGUUGUUCAUGGUUGACUUUCAUAAUAACUUUGAAAAAGGUCACUGAUUGUGAUUUUUUCUCACUUGGUCUCAAAUCAGGUAGGAAAACCCGCUGAACUUAA